UACGUAGGGUGCGAGCGUUAAUCGGAAUUACUGGGCGUAAAGCGUGCGCAGGCGGUUGUGUAAGACAGAUGUGAAAUCCCCGGGCUCAACCUGGGAACUGCGUUUGUGACUGCACGGCUAGAGUACGGCAGAGGGGGGUGGAAUUCCUGGUGUAGCAGUGAAAUGCGUAGAUAUCAGGAGGAACAUCGAUGGCGAAGGCAGCCCCCUGGGCCGAUACUGACGCUCAUGCACGAAAGCGUGGGGAGCAAACAGGAUUAGAUACCCUGGUAGUCCACGCCCUAAACGAUGUCGACUAGGUGUUCGGGGAGGAGACUCCUUGAGUACCGCAGCUAACGCGUGAAGUCGACCGCCUGGGGAGUACGGUCGCAAGAUUAAA
rnacentral:rRNA from 1 species